rnacentral:tRNA from 1 species
GGAGUUGUGGCUCAGUGGUAGAGUGCUUGCCUAGCAUGCAUGAGGCACUGGGUUCGAUCCCCAAUAUCA